rnacentral:rRNA from 1 species
UACGUAGGUGGCAAGCGUUGUCCGGAAUUACUGGGUGUAAAGGGAGCGUAGGCGGGUUUUCAAGUCUAAUGUGAAAUCUAACGGCUCAACCGAUAGACUGCGUUGGAAACUGAGGAUCUUGAGUGAAGUAGAGGCAGGCGGAAUUCCUAGUGUAGCGGUGAAAUGCGUAGAUAUUAGGAGGAACACCAGUGGCGAAGGCGGUCUGCUGGGCUUUAACUGACGCUGAGGCUCGAAAGCGUGGGGAGCAAACAGGAUUAGAUACCCUGGUAGUCCACGCCGUAAACGAUGAUUACUAGGUGUGGGCAUGCAAAUGUCCGUGCCGGAGUUAACACAAUAAGUAAUCCACCUGGGGAGUACGAUCGCAAGAUUGAA